UACGUAGGGGGCAAGCGUUGUCCGGAAUCAUUGGGCGUAAAGAGCGUGUAGGCGGCCAGGUAGGUCGGUUGUGAAAACUGGAGGCUCAACCUUCAGAGGUCGACCGAAACCAUCUGGCUAGAGUCCGGGAGAGGAGAGGUGGAAUUCCUGGUGUAGCGGUGAAAUGCGCAGAUAUCAGGAAGAACACCGUGGCGAAAGCGGCUCUCUGGAACGGGUACUGACGCUGAGACGCGAAAGCGUGGGAGCGAACAGGAU
rnacentral:rRNA from 1 species